GAGAGUUUGCAUAGCUUUCAAUUCACUAGCAUAUCAAUUGCCAUUAACAUUGUCAAUUUGCAAAGGAAUUCAAGUAUUCAAUUGCAAAUUGAAUUCAACCUGAAUUGAUGGAAGCAAUUGACGUUUUACUGAAAAAACAAAAAUUGUUCAUGUAUACGUACAUAGAAAAAUUAAUGUAAAUGUCACUAGAUGAUGUAUACGAUUAAUUCAAUUUUGUUUAU
rnacentral:lncRNA from 1 species